AGCUACCCCUCUUUACUUAGGUAUUACUAGAUAAUAUGAAAAUUUGAUAUUUUUGUAUUAUCUGAGUAAAAGCUAAGUAAAGAUUGAAACACUAAUUUUGUUCGGGUUUCAAAAAGAAAUAAAAGGAUGAAAACUGAAAAACUUAAAUUUCACCAUUGCGAAGCAGAGGGCCGAUAACAAAACUAAAACCCGAAUUCGACCAUUGCCUUGCAGGGGGC
rnacentral:lncRNA from 1 species